AUACUUACCUGGCAAGGGAGAUACCAUAAACAAGAAGGUUCUUCACUCAGGGUAAGGCUCAGACACUGUACUCCAGUUGUCCUUACCUCCGCGAAUUCCCCAAAUGUGGGAAUCUCGACUGCAUAAUUUCUGUUUUUUCUGGUUUGGGCAGCAGUUGCCAAGA